CCGCCCCGCGCCCGCCACUGGCGCCGGCAGCGCCCGCCCGCUCCGCUCCUGCCGCUUCUCCCGCGCCGACCCUCCUCCCGUCCCUCUGUCCGCCAUGGUGCGUGGGCUCGGGGCUCCGCAUCCUCCCGGCUCGGCGCGCCCGCAUCCCUCAGCCCCGGGGCGGCGGUUACCGUGAGAGCCGCGUCUUCCAGCCGGGCAGCCCUGGCGCAGCAGCGGGGACGAGGCGGGCGCUGCCACGGCUGACCUGUUGAAAGAGCCGGGCUCGCGGGGCUUUCCUUUGCCUUGCUCUUUUAUUUCUUGCUCCUUUUUCUUGUCACUUCUGGACGGGGGAAGUUUGCUCCCCCAGACCGUGGCCGGGCUUCCUCCACACCCUUUCCUCCUUUUUGCCAGGAUCCGCUGCCCGGGGCCAGACGUGAUCUCCCUCGUAACCCCCCGCCCGAUCCCGCAGCCGCGAGCGCUGGAGCUGGGAUCGGCCCCGUCCUCCCGCAGGAGCUGUCCGCGGGCUCCGGGCUCGCCCGUUCCCCGGCGCACGGCGGGGCGGCCCCGGCAGGGCUGCAGCCCCCGCGGGUGUCCCCGGGCUGCCCGGCCGCCACCAUGGCGAAAGUGGCGGCGGAAAGUUGCGGGGCGGCGCCGGCCGAGGACUUGUCCAAGGUGUCGGACGAAGAGCUGCUGAAGUGGAGCAAGGAGGAGCUGAUCCGCAGCCUCCGCCGCGCCGAGGCCGAGAAGAUGAGCGCGAUGCUGGACCACAGCAACCUCAUUCGCGAAGUGAACCGCCGCCUCCAGCUCCAUCUCGGCGAGAUCCGCGGCUUGAAGGACAUCAACCAGAAACUGCAAGAAGAUAACCAAGAACUGCGAGACCUUUGCUGCUUUUUGGAUGAUGACAGGCAGAAAGGCAAGAAGGUGUCCCGUGAGUGGCAGAGACUGGGCAGAUUCAGUGCUAGUGUCAUGCACAAAGAGGUUGCCUUAUACUUACAGAAGCUGAAAGAACUGGAGGUGAGGCAGGAAGAAGUGGUUAAGGAAAACCUGGAGCUGAAAGAAUUGUGUGUGUUGCUGGAUGAGGAGAAGAGCGGUGGAGCAGGCAGCCGGAGCUCUAUCGACAGCCAAAUCAGCCUGUGCCAGUUAACUGCAACGAGCACGUACAUCAGAGACGUCGGCGAUGGGAGCAGUACUUCCAGCACGGGAAGUACAGACAGCCCAGACCACCAUAAACAUCAUCCGAGUACUAGUCCAGAACGUCUUCAAAAAGCCCGUGGUGAAGGAAGCCCUGAGCAUCAGAAACACAGGAGUAUCAGCCCAGAGCACCUGCAGAAGCCUAGGAGUUCUGGCAGUCCCGACCAUCACCUGAAAGGCCCGAGUCCAGAACAUCAUAAAACCAUCGUCAAAGCACCUGAGCCACAAAAGCACAGCAGCAGCAGUCCAGAAACUAUCCCAAAGCACGUUUUGAGUAGUAGCCCUGAACACUUUCAAAAGCAGAGGCCUGGUAGUAGCCCCGAGCAUCAAAAGCACAGCAGUGGCAGCCCGGAUCAUCUUCAAAAGCACACACCAAGUGGAAGUACAGAACACCUCCACAAAGUGAGAGGUACGAGCCCUGAGCAUCUCAAACACUACGGAGGGAGCCCGGAACAUCUCAAACAUCUCAGCGGAGGCAGCAGAGAAGGUACCCUCAGGAGACAAGUCACAGACGACCUGUCACCUCACCACAGAAGUAUAUACAAUGGAAUGAAUGAACCAACCUUGUCCUAUGUUAGGCAGCUGGAGGCAAGAGUAAGACAGCUGGAGGAGGAAAAUCGCAUGCUGCCCCAGGUUGUGUGGAGGAAACUUGGAGAUGCUGCAGGGUCGUGCCCUGGAAUUAGACAACAUUUGUCAGGAAAUCAGUAUAAAGGACCCAUGUGAGAGGCCCCGAGCGAGUCCUCGCUCUGAAGAGAAAGAGUUUGGACUGCCGCUAAGAGAAGGAACUGCGUCCUCAGUGACUUGCCAGCGGACAACAAGGAGUCUGUAUGCACUGCAAGAGACUUUGUUGGGAACUAGCAGAGGUUCUGCACAGAGAUCUUUCAGAGGAGCCGUGCUCUCAGUGUCCCCCAGCGCUGCUGCUUGAGCAUCCUGGCCGGUGAGACGCCGCCGCAUCCGCACUUCAACUCGCCACGUUUCGGAGCACUGAGGGACCCCAGCCAUGGAUAUAUCCCCAAGGCAGCAACUAGCACUGCAACCCUCUGGUCAUCCAGGAACCUGAAGGGGAGCUUGGCCUCCUUCUCCACCAGGCUGCUCAAGCAGCAGGGGCUCACUCCCUGUGCCUUGCAGAGUACAGCAGCUACAGCUGCGUAGCUUCCAGCCAGCGGGGACACACCAGCCCCAGCGUGCAUCCUCCAAGGACACUGCAAGGGACACCAGAAAUGCUCCAUCCACUGCCAGCCCUUCAUCCACUCAUCCAAGGACUGCAUCUUCCUCAGGGAGGACAUUCCCUUCUGUAAGCCCUCAGUGCCCAGCUGACACCCAUCAGCUCCUGCCUCAGCCUUUCCUCUGUACCCUACAUGAUCUCCAAUCGCUCCUCCAGGUGUCACAUCUCGUCUCCACCUGAAGCCCAGCGAAGGCAGAGAGGAUCUCAGCAUCUGACACACCUUCUCUUUGCAGGAGCCCUUCACCGGGCUGAGAAGCUCAGACCAUGGAACACAGGCAGCAACUCUCCAUCACUCCACUCUUCCAUCUCUGGCUGGCUGCUCAGCCACCAGCCUCCUUCUCUUCCUCCUCCUCGCAGCAAAGAGAACUGGACACCUACUGUGGAUGAUGCUGGUGUUGCCCAGCUUGUUGGUGCAGGUGUAGUUGCUGUGGUCCUUUUGGGACCUAGAGGUGAGGGUGGAGAGGCAGCCCUAGCUCGUGAUGCACAGGGGGAGUCAGUGGGGGACUUGCCCAGCUGGGCUGAACGCUUGGACUUGGAAGCAUUUUGCAACCAAAGUGCCUCUGUGAUUCUCUGCUAUCCCACCCCCUCCCCACCUCGUUCCCCAACAGACCCCUCCAGCCCCCAAAACACACCCCAUCCCCCACAGCCCCUCAGCUGCUGUGUCCUGGAACUGCUGCCCCUCUGCCAGGGGCACAGCAAGGCCUGGCCCUUGCCCUGGGGGCUGCGCUUCUGCCCCAGCGAGGGAGGCACCUGAGUUCCUGGUGUGGGCAACACACAGCAUGUCUGUGGGGACAUGGCAUGAUGUCAGCCCCCAGGGUGCUCCAGCUGUCCCCCCAAACCCCCCCUGACUGAGAGCAACUGUGCUGAGGUUGGGCACAGCCACGUUGGUGACAGCGCUGCCCUGGCAGCCACCCGCCUGCUCCCGUGUGCUGCUCAUCCUCGCUCACAAAGGCCUGGCCUGGACAUGGAGCUGUCACCUGGGGCUGCCCCAGCCCUCCCUCCUGUCCCCUGCCUACAGGGUGGGUGGUGGGAGGAUUGAAGAGGGGGGUGGGCACUUUUCUUCACCGUGCCCAAUGCCAGGACAAGGGGUGUUGGGCACAAGCUAGAAUACAGGAAGGUGCAAUGGAAACAUGGACUCAUGGAACCACAGGCAGCUGGAGAUCUCUUCUCCAGAGCUCAUCCAGUUCAACUGGCCUGCACCAGCAGCUCCACCUUGAUCACAGCCCCCAGGAACACAUCCAGGUCAGCACAGAAAGCAUCUGGAGCCGAAGACUCCAUACACUCCUGGGCAUGGAGAGAGGGGUUGAAUCUCCUUCUCUGGAGGCCUCCACCCAGGCUUGGACUUGGUGCUGUGCUCCCUCAUGGAGGCUCCCGAGCUGGGUGGGCUUUGGCUCUCCCUUGCAACCCCUCCCCCCUCAGAUUUUGUGACUUGAGAGAUCUUCUAAUAAAGGUUAAAUAAAGACUCAA